rnacentral:rRNA from 1 species
AUACGGAGGAUGCGAGCGUUAUCCGGAUUUAUUGGGUUUAAAGGGAGCGUAGGUGGGAUAUUAAGUCAGCUGUGAAAGUUUGGGGCUCAACCUUAAAAUUGCAGUUGAUACUGGUUUCCUUGAGUACGGUACAGGUGGGCGGAAUUCGUGGUGUAGCGGUGAAAUGCUUAGAUAUCACGAAGAACUCCGAUCGCGAAGGCAGCUCACCGGGCCGGAACUGACACUGAUGCUCGAAAGUGCAGGUAUCAAACAGGAUUAGAUACCCUGGUAGUCCGCACAGUAAACGAUGAAUACUCGCUGUUUGCGAUACACAGUAAGCGGCCAAGCGAAAGCAUUAAGUAUUCCACCUGGGGAGUACGCCGGCAACGGUGAAACUCAAAGGAAUUGACGGGG